GUGAAUUUACAAUGGGAACUUCUGAUGGAAUCACCAAGGAAAUUAUAAUGGAACGACUCUCCAGGUUCCAUGAUGAAGAUACUGAAGACAGUGUCUUUCUCAAUUCAUAUGACAGCAUGAUUAGUAGAAUUUUGUAUUCACUUGCAUCAU